UGACCGUAUCAGAUGAGGCCUCUGAGCUAGUGAUAGGUGGAUUCAUGACCAUAUGAGACAAGGCCUCUGAGCUAGUGAUAGGUGGAUUCAUGACCGUAUCAGACAAGGCCUCUGAGCUAGACAGCGCUGUGUGAGAAGUUCUGAGAACCAUGUGAAGUUGGAAUAUACUGUUUGGCACUAAGCCUGGCCAACACUCUUCUGUCCCAGCCUGACCUUUAACCUCUAGAUCAGGGGUAGUCAACUCUGACCCGACGAGAGCCUGCUGUUUUUCUGUUCUACCUGAUAACUAGUCAGUCAGCCAGCCAGUCAGCCAGCCAGUCAGUCACCAGAACCAGCGAGUCAGUCACCAGAACCAGCCAGCCAAUCAGCCAGCCGGCCAGCCAGUCAGUUACCAGAACCAGCCAGUCAGUCACCAGAACCAGCCAGCCAAUCAGCCAGCCGGCCAGCCAGUCAGUCACCAGAACCAGCCAGUCAGUCACCAGAACCAGCCAGCCAAUCAGCCAGCCGGCCAGCCAGUCAGUUACCAGAACCUGCCAGCCAGUCAGUCACCAGAACCAGCCAGCCAAUCAGCCAGUCAGUCACCAGAACCAGCCAGCCAAUCAGCCAGUCAGUCACCAGAACCAGCCAGUCAAUCAGCCUGCCAGUCAGUCACCAGAACCAGCCAGUCAAUCAGCCAGUCGGCCAGCCAACUAAUCAGUCCAUUGGUCCAGUCAAAUCAGCUUUAAAGCCUGUUGAACUUCCC
ensembl:lncRNA